AAAAAAGAAGAAGAAACAGUUUUGUUUUGUUUUGUUUUAAACAAAACACCUAAGUUUAAGGGACCCAUGUCAUUCAAAGACAUGACUGUGGGCUUCACCCAGGAUGAGUGGUGACAACUGACAGGUAUCAGAGGACCCUAUACUGGGAUGUGAUGCUGGACAGCUACAGCCACUUGGUCUCUGUGGGGUACUGCAUUGCCAAACCAGAGGUGAUCAUCAAGCUGGAGCAAGGAGAAGAGCUGUGGCCAUUAGAAUUCCCAGGCUGGAGUGGUCCCGAGUACAUCGUGUGAAAUGCUGGGCUGGAUGAAGCACAAGCUGGAAUCAAGAUUGCCGGGAGAAAUAUCAAUAACCUCAGAUAUGCAGAUGACACCACCCUUAUGGCAGAAAGCAAAGAAGAACUAAAGAGCCUCUUGAUGAAAGUGAAAGAGGAGAGUGAAAAAGUUGGCUUAAAACUCAACAUUUGGAAAACUAAGAUCACGGCAUCCGGUCCCAUCACUUCAUGGCAAAUAGAUGGGGAAACAAUGGAAACAGCGUGAGACUUUAAUUUGGGGGGCUCGAAAAUCACUGCAGAUGGUGACUGCAGCCAUGAACUUAAAAGACACUUGCUCCUUGGAAGAAAAGCUAUGACCAAUCUAGACAGCAUAUUAAAUUAAAGUAGAGAUAUUUCUUUGCUGACAAAGGUCCAUCUAGUCAAAGCUAUGGUUUUUUCAGUAGUCAUAUAUGGAUAGGAGAGUUGGAUUAUAAAAUAAAAGAUUUGGCCUUUGGCACCACCUGUGGAAGGUCAUGAGUGCAGAGUAGCCACCUCCAGUGAGGCAGCCACCAUCCCACCACAGAAGACUCAAACAGAAGAGAGUACCCAGGAUUAUGAGCAACAGGGAGGGGCAAGAUACCAGUGA